CUCUCUCUCUCUUCCCGCUCUCUCUCUCUCUCUCUCUCUCUCUCUCUCUCUCUCUCGGUCUCCCUAACCUUUCUUUUGUGUCUUUGAUCCAUGAACGCCCUGCCCACACACGCCCUCGUUCUCUCUCUCGGAAGCUCAGUUGAAGACUAUUUGUCGAACGUGAGACAAUUCCUCGAGCAACUGUAUACUAUGUCCAAAAUAUGUGAGAUCUGUUCUAGAUUCAAUGGGAUGUAUCAGGUGGAGGUCCACUACAUAGAUAUUGGAUUUCAUUUCACCAUCACUGGGAGUUUCAUGGAUUUGUUUGAAAGCCUUACAUAUGUUCAGGCAGAUUUUGCUCUUGUAGGAGCCAAUAGGGCCCACCUAUGAUCAACAAUGACAAUUUGAUGGGAGGAAUGCUUGGUAGAUUUGGAACAUGUGCCAAAAGUAUCCAUGAAAGGGUAAUCACAACCAAACAAUUAAGGGCAUACAAGAUGGACGGGCUUAGAGUGGAAGGAGAAAGUAGAAGAAUCUUCAAUUAGAACAAUGUCUCUAAGCUUAAAGACAUUGUUUGAGCAGUUUGCAGUGGAAGUUGAGCCUAGUACCUCAGAAGCAUUGGAUCAAGAGAGAGAAGAAGUGUUUCUAGAUCUACCAAAUGAAGUUACCCAAGCAAGGUCCUUUAGAAGGGGAUCAGUCCAUUCAUGCUUCAUGACUUGAACAACCAAUAUACAGUGAGAAUUGGCUAUUGAAGCAUCAAAUCAUAUGUUGUAUAUCCCGCAAGGAAGCUCAUAUGGUAAAGGAAGUAGUGAGAUUAGAAAUAGCAAUCAUUAGCCUUUUCCCCAUAGCUGAAUUCUCAUGCAUGAGGUAUAAGAUGAAAUUUUUAAGAGGUAUGUACUUUGUAUAUAAAAAGGGUGCGCCCACAAGUACAGUUUGUUGGCAACAAAAAUUGCUCAUUUGAACAUUGAAUAUUUCCUUGCUAGUUACACUGUUUGUCGAAGAUCCUGAAAUUUGAUAUGGGUUACAGGAAUUUGGCUAUCCCUAGAAGCUCUUCUGUAACUAGCUUGUCAUUUGUUAAUUCCAUUUCUAAUGCAAGUCAGCCUAAGUGACAUCUUCUUACAACUGGAUGGAGUGUGUUUGUAAGUGCAAAGAGGCUUGUUGCAGGUGAUUCGGUCCUUUUCAUCUGGAACGAAAAGAAUCAGUUACUCUUGGGAAUUCGGUGUGCUAAUCGGCCACAAACAGUCAUGUCAGUUUUAUCAAGUGAUAGCAUGCACAUAGGGCUCCUUGCUGCAGCAGCUCAUGCGGCUGCCACAAAUAGUCGUUUAACUAUUUUUUAUAACCCAAGGGCAAGCCCAUCUGAAUUUGUCAUACCUCUAGCCAAAUAUGCUAAAGGAGUCUACCACACCCGUGUUUUAGCUGGCAUGCGCUUUUCGAUGCUAUUUGAGACAGAAGAGUCGAGUGUGCAUCGGCUAAAAUAGUUAGAAGGGCAGGGUUCUCAGAGUUUGAUGAAUAUGUUCCCAUGGUAGAUAGCUGUGGAUUCAAGCUGGAACAAGUGUCCCAGCAAAAGCUCUCGUCUCCUAGAAGUAUGCAAGUAUAUAUUAGAUUUCAUUAGGGAGUUGCAGGCUUUUACAAGUCAAUGGUUAUAUGUUGUUAUAUGAGGUAUUUGUCAUAUGAGGUAUCAUAUUUAGUGGAUCCCAUUUAUGUGCAUGUAUUUUUCAUAUGAGGUAUCAUAUAAUGCUUUGGCAGGGAGUCUUUAUUUUUAGUAUGCUUUAACUUUUUAGUUUGAUGAAUAUAAUUCUUAUUAAACUAUCA